CAGACGUGUGCUCUUCCGAUCUGAUUCCGUUAGUAGUGGCGAGCGAACGCGGAACAGCCCAGUUGGAACCAGUCGAUCGAGCUUAGUGGAACGGUCUGGAAAGUCCGGCCAUAGCGGGUGAUAGCCCCGUACACGAAAAGCAAAGUCGAUGACCAACGAAGAGUAGGGCGGGACACGUGCAAUCCUGCCUGAACAUGGGGGGACCAUCCUCCAAGGCUAAAUACUCUCUAUCGACCGAUAGUGAACCAGUACCGUGAGGGAAAGGCGAAAAGAACCCCGGAGAGGGGAGUGAAAUAGAACCUGAAACCGUGUGCGUACAAGCAGUCGGAGCCCCGCAAGGGGUGACGGCGUACCUUUUGUAUAAUGGGUCAGCGAGUUAUUUUCAGUGGCGAGGCUAACCGUAUAGGGGAGCCGUAGGGAAACCGAGUCCGAACAGGGCGAUUCAGUCGCUGGGAAUAGACCCGAAGCCGGUCGAUCUAUCCAUGUCCAGGGUGAAGGCAGGGUAAUACCUGCUGGAGGCCCGAACGAACUACUGUUGCAAUAGUACGUCGAUGAGGUGUGGAUAGGAGUGAAAGGCUAAUCAAGGCCGGCGAUAGCUGGUUCUCCCCGAAAGCUAUUUAGGUAGUGCCUCAUCGAGCACUCCUGGGGGUAGAGCACUGUUUAGGCUAGCGGGCCAUCCCGGCUUAGCAAACCUAUGCAAACUCCGAAUACCAGGAAGUGAACCGAUGGGAGACACACGGCGGGUGCUAACGUCCGUCGUGAAGAGGGAAAUAACCCAGACCACCAGCUAAGGUCCCAAAGUUGCGGCUAAGUGGGAAAGGAUGUGGGAAGUCAUAGACAGCCAGGAGGUUGGCUUAGAAGCAGCCAUCCUUUAAAGAAAGCGUAAUAGCUCACUGGUCUAGUCGGCCCGCGCGGAAGAUUUAACGGGGCUCAAGCCAUGAGCCGAAGCUGCGGAUCUGCACGCAAGUGCAGGUGGUAGGGGAGCGUUCUGUACGCCUGCGAAGGUGCAUCGUGAGAUGUGCUGGAGGUAUCAGAAGUGCGAAUGCUGACAUGAGUAACGUUAAUGCGGGUGAAAAACCCGCACGCCGAAAGCCCAAGGUUUCCUGCCCAACGUUAAUCGGGGCAGGGUGAGCCGGUUCCUAAGACGAGACCGAAAGGUGUAGCCGAUGGAAAACAGGUCAACAUUCCUGUGCCCGGUGUGACUGCGAUGGGGUGACGGAGAAGGCUAGAUCAGCAGGGAUUGGUUCCCUGUUUAAGCAGGUAGGGGGAGUCGCCAGGCAAAUCCGGCGGCUCGUUAUCCCCGAGAUGUGAUGACGAGGUCCUACGCGGACCGAAGUGAUUGACGCCCCGCUUCCAGGAAAAGCCUCUAAGCUUCAGGUCACAUUGGACCGUACCGAAAACCGACACUGGUGGGCGGGCAGAUAAUCUGCCAAGGCGCUUGAGAGAACUCGGGUUAAGGAACUCUGCAAAUUGAUACCGUAACUUCGGAAGAAGGUAUGCCUCCGACGGUGUAGGGAUUUACUCCCGAAGCCGUUGAAGGUCGCAGGUAAUCGGUGGCUGCGACUGUUUAUCAAAAACACAGGACUCUGCGAACACGCAAGUGGAUGUAUAGGGUCUGACGCCUGCCCGGUGCCGGAAGGUUAAGUGAUGGGGUUAGCCGCAAGGCGAAGCUCUUGAUCGAAGCCCCGGUAAACGGCGGCCGUAACUAUAACGGUCCUAAGGUAGCGAAAUUCCUUGUCGGGUAAGUUCCGACCUGCACGAAUGGCGUAACGAUGGCCACACUGUCUCCUCCUGAGACUCAGCGAAGUUGAAGUGUUUGUGAUGAUGCAAUCUCCCCGCUGCAAGACGGAAAGACCCCGUGCACCUUUACUGCAACUUUGCAUUGGACUUUGAUGAGGUCUGUGUAGGAUAGCUGGGAGGCUUUGAAGCCGGGCCGCUAGGUUCGGUGGAGCCACCGUUGAAAUACCAGCCUGGCGUCAUCGAGGUUCUAACCUUGACCCGUGAAUCCGGGUCGGGGACCGUGCAUGGUGGGUAGUUUGACUGGGGCGGUCUCCUCCCAAAGAGUAACGGAGGAGUGCGAAGGUACGCUUAGCGCGGUCGGCUAUCGCGCUGAAAGUGCAAUGGCAAAAGCGUGCUUAACUGCGAGACUGACAAGUCGAGCAGGUGCGAAAGCAGGUCAUAG
rnacentral:rRNA from 1 species